rnacentral:rRNA from 1 species
GACGAACGCUGGCGGCGUGCCUAAUACAUGCGAGUAGAACGCUGAAGGAGGAGCUUGCUUCUCUGGAUGAGUCGCGAACGGGUGAGUAACGCGUAGGUAACCUGCCUGGUAGCGGGGGAUAACUAUUGGAAACGAUAGCUAAUACCGCAUAAGAGUAGAUGUCGCAUGACAUUUGCUUAAAAGGUGCAAUUGCAUCACUACCAGAUGGACCUGCGUUGUAUUAGCUAGUUGGUGAGGUAACGGCUCACCAAGGCAACGAUACAUAGCCGACCUGAGAGGGUGAUCGGCCACACUGGGACUGAGACACGGCCCAGACUCCUACGGGAGGCAGCAGUAGGGAAUCUUCGGCAAUGGACGGAAGUCUGACCGAGCAACGCCGCGUGAGUGAAGAAGGUUUUCGGAUCGUAAAGCUCUGUUGUAAGAGAAGAACGAGUGUGAGAGUGGAAAGUUCACACUGUGACGGUAUCUUACCAGAAAGGGACGGCUAACUACGUG